rnacentral:rRNA from 1 species
AGGUAGUGACGAGAAAUACGAGACCGUUCUCUACGAGGCCAGUCAUCGGAAUGGGUACAAUGUAAACCCUUUAACGAUUAUCUAUGAGAGGGCAAGUCUGGUGCCAGCAGCCGCGGUAAUUCCAGCUCUCAAAAUGCAUAGAAUUAUUGCUGCGGUUAAAAAGCUCGUAGUUGGAUCUGUGCCCCGCGGGCGGUCCUCCCCCCCCGGGGUAGCUACGGCUCCACGGGGCUUUUGGCUGGUCGUCCUGUUCUCGUCUUCAGCGACUUGUACAGGUGGCCGGCAAUUUUACUUUGAACAAAUCAGAGUGCUCCACACAGGCGUCUCGCCUGAAUGUUCGUGCAUGGAAUAAUAGAAGAGGGUUUCGGUUCUAUUUUAUUGGUUUUUAGACUGAGGUAAUGGUUAAUAGAGACAAACGGGGGCAUUCGUACCUCUGCGUGAGAGGUGAAAUUCUUGGACCGCAGCAAGACGCACGACAGCGAAAGCAUUUGCCAAGCAUGUCUUCUUAAUCAAGAACGAAGUCAGAGGUUCGAAGGCGAUCAGAUACCGCCCUAGUUCUGACCGUAAACGAUGCCAACUAGCGAUCCGCCGGGGAUAUUCUCCCUGGUGGGGAGCUUCCCGGAAACGAAAGUCUUCCGGUUCCGGGGGAAGUAUGGUUGCAAAGCUGAAACUUAAAGGAAUUGACGGAAGGGCACCACCAGGAGUGGAGCCUGCGGCUUAAUUUGACUCAACACGGGGAAACUCACCCGGCCCGGACACCGCGAGGAUUGACAGAUUGACAGCUCUUUCAUGAUUCGGUGGAUGGUGGUGCAUG